rnacentral:rRNA from 1 species
CCUACGGGAGGCAGCAGUGGGGGAUAUUGGACAAUGGGGGGAACCCUGAUCCAGCGACGCCGCGUGAGUGAAGAAGUAUUUCGGUAUGUAAAGCUCUGUCAGCAGGGAAGAAAGAAAUGACGGUACCUGACCAAGAAGCCCCGGCUAACUACGUGCCAGCAGCCGCGGUAAUACGUAGGGGGCAAGCGUUAUCCGGAAUUACUGGGUGUAAAGGGAGCGUAGACGGUUAAGUAAGUCUGGAGUGAAAGGCCGGGGCCCAACCCCGGGACUGCUCUGGAAACUAUUGAACUUGAGUGCAGGAGAGGUAAGCGGAAUUCCUAGUGUAGCGGUGAAAUGCGUAGAGAUUAGGAGGAACACCAGGGGCGAAGGCGGCUUACUGGACUGUAACUGACGUUGAGGCUCGAAAGCGUGGGGAGCAAACAGGAUUAGAUACCCCAGUAGUC